rnacentral:rRNA from 1 species
GAUGAACGCUGGCGGCGUGCCUAAUACAUGCAAGUCGAGCGAACGGACGAGAAGCUUGCUUCUCUGAUGUUAGCGGCGGACGGGUGAGUAACACGUGGAUAACCUACCUAUAAGACUGGGAUAACUUCGGGAAACCGGAGCUAAUACCGGCUAAUAUUUUGAACCGCAUGGUUCAAAAGUGAAAGACGGUCUUGCUGUCACUUAUAGAUUGAUCCGCGCUGCAUUAGCUAGUUGGUAAGGUAACGGCUUACCAAGGCAACGAUGCAUAGCCGACCUGAGAGGGUGAUCGGCCACACUGGAACUGAGACACGGUCCAGACUCCUACGGGAGGCAGCAGUAGGGAAUCUUCCGCAAUGGGCGAAAGCCUGACGGAGCAACGCCGCGUGAGUGAUGAAGGUCUUCGGAUCGUAAAACUCUGUUAUUAGGGAAGAACAUAUGUGUAAGUAACUGUGCACAUCUUGACGGUACCUAAUCAGAAAGCCACGGCUAACUACGUG